rnacentral:lncRNA from 1 species
UAUUUGAAAAAUUUCUUAUAUCUUAAUUCAAAAGGUUUAAGAAUUAAGAUAAAUAUAAUGGCAAUUCAUGGUUCCAAGAGACUGAGGAUGAAACAUGCUUUCUAAUACAGAGAGGUGAUAUAUUAUUUAUAUAACCAUAUGUAUAGUAUAAAGACAUCAGGCAAUUUGUUUUGUUCAACUAUAUAUAUUUGUUACCAGAGAUUAAUCUUUUUCUUUUCUUUUCAGUGGGGCAGAGAGCAGGAAAUUAAGAAAAAAGAUUUCUGUCGAUUAAAAAAAAAUGAGAGCUCCUUUAUGUAUCUGAUUGGCAAGGAGUUCAAAUGUCUUUUGUUUGGGGUGAGUUUUGGCCUUCUCAUUUUCUCAUGCAUUUUUAUUCUUUCUUCUGAUUUGAUGUUGGUUUUGAUCCAUGCUCCAAUACCUUGAGGGUCUCACAUAGACAACUGAUUUGGAAAUGAACCUCUAGUAAUGGGAUGUUGGAAGCAGAAGAGAAAUUGGAGGAAAUAGUUCAGGGAAGGGGUAAUGAAGUAAUGGAAGUAAGCAAUACUAUGUAUAGAAUACAAUAUAUAUGUAUAUAUAUAUAUAUAUAUGAUGUCUGCAUAUAUGUGUGUCCAGAGAUCAUAUCUAUAAAUAUACAGACUUAUGUGAAUGGGGCAGCCAGGUGAAUAGAGUAGUGAAUAGAAUCCUAAACCCGGAGACAGGAAGACAUCUUCCCGAGUUCAAAUCUGUCCUGAGACACUUCCUAGCUGUAUGAUCUUGAUUGAGUCACCUAACUCUGUUUGCCUCAGUUUCCUCAUCUAUCAAAUGAGCUGGAGAAGGAAAUGGCAAAUCACUCCUAUACCUUUGCUAAUAGAACCCAGAUGGAAUCACAAAAAAAUUGGACACAACUGAAAUGAUAGAACAACAAAAAUGUGUAUGGGUACAUAAAAAAGUAUGCACAUGUGUAUACAUUCAUACUUUCAUGCAUGGAUGCACACAUCCAGACCUGUGAUUUUAUCCAGGAGUACGCAUUCUUGUUGGGCUUAAAAUGCUAGUUCCUAAUUUAUGGGAUCACAAAUUAGUGGAGAAACUCCUAGUAUGGAAAUACCAUCCUCUGAGUUAUGUCAGUAUGUCAGCAGCAACUCCUGUAUCACUUAAAGUCUCAGAGAGGAAAUUUUUACAAAGGCUUUUAUGAAUCACCAUUAAGGACAGUAGAGCCACCAUACUUGACAGCCUCAGAUGCUCUGAUGGAAC